UACGUAGGGGGCUAGCGUUGUUCGGAAUUAUUGGGCGUAAAGAGCUCGUAGGCGGUCUGUCGCGUCGGCUGUGAAAACCCGGGGCUCAACUCUGGGCCUGCAGUCGAUACGGGCAGACUAGAGUUCGGUAGGGGAGACUGGAAUUCCUGGUGUAGCGGUGAAAUGCGUAGAUAUCGGCAGGAACACCCGAGGCGAAGCCGGCUGGCUGGGCAGUUGCUGACGCUGAUGUGCGAAAGCGUGGGGAGCGAACUGG
rnacentral:rRNA from 1 species